UAUUUUGAAUUUUCAGACUCUUUGUCUUCUGAGAAGUCUGACAAAAGCAACAGUUCAAGUGCAUCGACUGUAAUCUUACAUGAGGUCCCUAACAAAAGACAAAGAAAAGAGGACACAUCUGCACUGUCUGCAAAGCAGGCAACUCCCUACUAAAGCUAUCAGAGAACAGUAUGCUCUUGGCAUAGUGAUACUGUUCCCUCAGAGAUGCAUAUUCCAAGAAAGGCUACGAACACUUUUAUGAUGCUGCAAGCAACAUAGGAUACAAUGCUUGGCACAUGAAAACAGUCCACAGGAAGAUUAGACGAGGAUUUUUGCCACUAGACAGCCCUCAUGAUGUUUCUCCAGGAGGCCCAAAAUGCCAAAGGGCUACUAAUUUUGAAGGGCAACUUGAUGGGAGUGCUUGCAAAGAGGCCAUUUCUUUGCUCAGCCAUACCACAGAGAAGUCCCUAAUAUUCCAAAAGAUGAGAGAGACCUUUCAGCAUCGCCAAGAGCUUAUUAAAGAUCCAGGCUCUAGUGUUGAUAUCCUCUCCACCUUCCCAAGAUUCCUAGAUACAAAAGGCCUGGUAAGUUUGGAAUAACAUGUUUUCACAAGAAUGCAAUUUGAGAAUAUUGUUUAUAGUUUAAUAUCUUCUUAAAGGUUGGUCAAGACUUCACUCUCCUGUUUGACACUGAGACAUCCUCCAGGCUGCUUCAGAAGUGGGACACGUUCUUCAGGCCAAAUGUCAUUAAAGACACCAAGCAACUUACUUCAACAGCAGAGAUGAGUCAGUUUUUGCUCUCAGCAGAAUGUCCUGAAGGAAGUGACCUUCAUGAGACAAUUUACGACCGGGAAAUGGCAUCCCUUCUUUAACUGAUACAUCUCCUUCCACCAUCACCAGGAGGACUGAAGUCUCCAAAAAUCAGUCCAUGUGAUGCUGCUGAAAGACUUGUAAUCUUUCAUAAGUUUAGUCAUGCUGCAGUUUGGAGGAGCCCCUCAACAACAUCCAGCAUCAGCAUCCGUACUUCCUUGCUGUUGGACGCCAGAAAAGCAAGACUGAGUGCUUCUACAUCAUCUUGGAUAAGCAUCUCAUCCCAUGCCAGGCAAACUGCUCCCUUGGAGCAUUUGAUGAACUUUUCAAGGCACAUUUUGUGUUCAAUUUGUCCUAUGAUGGUGCACUUGUGAACUUUUACACAUUCCUGCAGACAACAGUGUAUAACAUUGAUGAAGGUAAAAUGAAGUAGUCUCCC